CCUACGGGUGGCAGCAGUGAGGAAUAUUGGUCAAUGGGCGCGAGCCUGAACCAGCCAAGUAGCGUGAAGGAUGACUGCCCUACGGGUUGUAAACUUCUUUUAUAAAGGAAUAAAGUGAGGCACGUGAGCCUUUUUGUAUGUACUUUAUGAAUAAGGAUCGGCUAACGCCGUGCCAGCAGCCGCGGUAAUACGGAGGAUCCGAGCGUUAUCCGGAUUUAUUGGGUUUAAUGGGAGCGUAGAUGGGUUGUUAAGUCAGUCGUGAAAGUUUGGGGCUCAACCGUAAAAUUGCAUUUGAGACGGGGUGUCUGGAGUACAGGUGGGGCAGGCGGAAUUGGUGGUGUAGCGGUGAAAUGCUUAGCUAUCAGGAGGAACACCGAUGGCGAAGGCGGCCUACUAAAC
rnacentral:rRNA from 1 species